AGUGAACGCUGGCGGCAGGCCUAAUACAUGCAAGUCGAACGGCAGCACAGCAGAGCUUGCUCUGUGGGUGGCGAGUGGCGGACGGGUGAGGAAUACGUGGGAAUCUGCCCAGUCGUGGGGGAUAACGUAGGGAAACUUACGCUAAUACCGCAUGCGCCCUUCGGGGAAAGCCGGGGACCUUCGGGCCUGGCGCGAUUGGAUGAGCCCACGUCGGAUUAGCUAGUUGGCGGGGUAAAGGCCCACCAAGGCGACGAUCCGUAGCUGGUCUGAGAGGAUGAUCAGCCACACUGGAACUGAGACACGGUCCAGACUCCUACGGGAGGCAGCAGUAGGGAAUAUUGGACAAUGGGCGCAAGCCUGAUCCAGCCAUGCCGCGUGAGUGAAGAAGGCCCUCGGGUUGUAAAGCUCUUUUGUCCGGAAAGAAUGUAUCUGAUAGUAACUGAUCAGGUAGUGACGGUAUCCAACCAGAAAGCCACGGCUAACUACGUGCCAGCAGCCG
rnacentral:rRNA from 1 species